UGGAAGAAACAAAAAGAACAUUUUAGUCAAUUUUUUUAAUUAAAUUUUUGGACUAGUGUUGUGCGACAAGGAUCCGGUCAAAUUCACAUCGAAAUUCAUCUUUGAAACAGCAAAAUCAUCACACCAAAAUCUCUCAGAAAAAAUAGGAUAUUCUCGAAAAGAGUUUGUGUUAAUUUUCUGAUAGAUCGAAAAAUCUCAGAAAAUUCAGAAAAAAUCAACAAUUGGAGCACGCAACAGGAAUUGUUGCGCAAUUUGUGAAGCACAGAAAUGAUUUAAAAAAAAUGCAAUUGGCACAGAAUUGGCGCAUAGAGAGUGAAUUUUAGCCGGAGAUGAUAAAGUUUAAACACAUUUUAACAAUUUAGUUUAUAAUUUGUUUAGCUAAAAAUAAAAGCAAUGGCCAAGAGAAUUUGUGGAUGAUGAAGUCAAGCCACACAGGUCCAAUGCAAUUGGAACUAAGAGCCAAGAUUGAAUAACUAACUCUAGAACACUCUAAACUUAAGGAUUUUUUGAAAUAGUCGCAUAUAGAGUUCUAACCAAGUCGCCAUCUUGUGUUCACAGUGCUCACAGAAGAGGCAAAGAAAAUAUCAAGAUAUUACACGAAAAAAAAGGACACACGAGACACUUGAGAGAAAAUGUGAGAAAAUGGAUCGAUAAACCAGAACAUCACUUUCUUCGCCAGCAAAAAGGGCAAUUUAGGCAGAAGGAGAAUAGCCAAGGAGGAAAAGGAUGGAAAAUUCACAAGGCCCCCUUUUACAAAAUCACGCCAAAAAAAAAUAAGGGGAGAAAAACCCAUACAGCAGCACCGACUGAAAUAUCACAAAUUUUCCCAGCGACGUCGUCAAAUCGGAAAACACGGCCCACAGAGCAAAAAGAGAAAAACCAAGCCCCCCCUUAGAUGGAAAAAAAGGAAUGCAUGAGGAUAACCGACAAAAUACCCUUCCAAUACUUUCACGCACAGUCAACACAUUCGCAAACAAAACACUUUUCCUGGAGAGCAAAGGACCAAAACACACACAGUUGAGAAGGUUCAGGAGGAGAAGGAUAAAAAAAACCCUUGGAGGAGAAAUUCUCACAGCCACCAAGACUAAAUCACAUUUGGAAAUAAAAGAUGAGUGUAUCCUGGGGAGGAGAUGCAACAAAUCAACCCAAGUAUCUUCAGAAGGAGCAACCAGCAGCCGAAGGAGAAAUUCCGGAAAAAAACACAACUUUCACCAAUACAACCAUACAUCAAGCCAAGGAGAAAAUCAGCGGGACACAUCAGGAUCACAGUAAGGGGAAAAAUUUCCCCUUCGAAUCCUCAUUCAUCGGAAAAGCUCAUGCCGGAAACUCUUCUACCCAGCAGCAGGAUUCCAAAGGGCAUUUACAUGCCCCAUGCUAAGUAUCAUCCUCACAAGGAUCAUCUUUAUACUUACUAUUCUUUUUUUUUAUUAAUUGCCUCUAUCACCUUUCACUUGUGCUUCAGAGCUUUUACUUUAAAUCCCCAACCUUAUAUAAGCCUUUUGCUAAACCAUUUACUUUGUCGCAAACAUUUUCUUUUUACUUUAAUAUCUCUUUUUCUUUUUUUUUUAAAUAACAUCAUUUUAUUUUAAAAACCAAUAUGACGCCAUACAUUCAGGAUUUAUUGAAUUUGACGAUAGACAAAAAAAACACCUCAAAAUCAAAUUUUGCAAAAGAAAAUUUCGACCAAAAACAAAACAAAACAAAAUUUGGUGGAAUUGUACCUGAGCAGAGAAGCCAAUCAAAAUAUCCCAAAAAAAAAUGAUCAGACAAAAUUGAAAAUUCUUCAAGAAAAAGCUUAUUUUUGGAAUGUGUCAAAAUUUCCAAAAAAUUAAGCGUCAAAACCACAUAGAAAUGAGAGAAUUAUUAAGUACAGAAAAUGCCAAGCAUAUUAAGUGAUUUUGAAAAACAGCAUAAUGCAUAAAAGAUAGAUAUUUUUAUUAUUCCAUCAGAAAAUACUGACCACACUUUAUUUGGCAGUGUUUCUCGCAAAAAAUGGGGCAGAAAAAAAAUCACUCAGAAAAACCAAACUUGUAGUUAUUUAGAGAACUUUUCAAUAUUUGUCUGUUUAGAUCGCUAAAAACAACCAAAAAGAAACUAUCUUGUAUUUAACAAAACUUCAUAGAUAAUUCCUAAUCCCUUUCAGUCCAUCUCGCGAGAUGAGUUUAAAAAAAAACGAAAAACAAAUUAAGAAAUAUAGGAAAAGAUUCAAAAAGAAUUAACGGAAAAUUCAAUUUAUUAUUCAAUAAAGCGGCUUAAAAAAAUAAACCUAAAAAAUAUUGUAAAAAAUUCAAAAUCGCAAACCUAAAAGAAAAAAACCGCCAAACGAAUGACAAAUGACUAAUAAUCAUCCUAAUUUAAUCAAAGAGCAAAAGCAAAAAAAUCUCUUCAUGAAACUCACUGGUGCUAGGAAUUUUCGAGAGAAACAUAUUUAUGCAAAGUUGGACAAAGAAUAUAUUAAGAAAAAAAAUAGUAGAUAUUUUUUAUAAAAUAAAAUUAUAUAUUUGUUGUAAUGAAGAAAUAGACAGAGUUUUGUUGCACAUCCGACUAACAUGCAAUCAAAUAAUAAAACAAAAAAGAAACUAGGCGAACUAACCCAUCCAAUUUCUCAAUGGACUCGAAGGGAUUAAGAGUUAAAAAUAAAAACGGGUAGGAAAUUUCUCACACUGAAAGCAAAACAGAAUUUAAAAAAAGAGUCUAAAAUAAAAAAACAAAAGUCAAAACCAAAAUUCCGCCAAAAUUCAAUCACUUGGAAAAAAAAGUGGUCAGAUUUAAUAAAGUUGAAUAAUAAAAAUAGCAUUUAAUUUAGUUUUCGUAUUAAUAAGUGAUUAUAGUUUUCACUAUUCUUUUUCUUUUACUUUUUCUUAAGCUCAUUAAUGCUCAAACUAAUACAAUUUUAUCUCUUCCAGAAUUUAUAUUGCGUGCGGAUUUUAUUUUAUAGCUUUAAUUAUACUCCGAUUGCAUUCUACCACUGCAAAAAAAGUAUUAUACCAUUUUGGCAUUCGUAAAGUCAAGAUAUAUCAACGGUGAUGUAGUUAGAAAAAUAGUUACCAAAAAAAAACUAGAGCUGCAAUUGCAAAAUUAUUAUCAAAAGUAUCAAAAAUAACAAAAAUGAGGUUAGAAAAGAAAUAACCUAAACAAAAAACAGGCGGAAAUUUUGCCUAAUAAUUGAGGAAAUUUGGAUUUAAAAAAAAAACUAAAGAAGAAAUUACAAAUUGAAGAAAUAUUUAGGUAUACUGCAAAAACUUGAAUUACGAACAUUGGUAGUGGAUAGAGGUUUAGCCGCGGAUAUUCUGCAGAGCUUGUAUAAAAAUUCCUCUAACCUCACUACUGUUCCCGCCAAAAUUGAGUUUUACAAAACUCCCAAGCGAAAUCUCAAAAACCACAGCAAAAUUUGCCAAUAAAAAAGCAAAAAAAAAAUAAAAGAUAAAAUAGAAUUUGUGUUUCCGAUUAACUUUCGGAUGAAUGUUUAGAACUGGUAUUAUUGGUUUUCGUUUUGAUAAAUUUUGAUACCAAAAACAAUCAUUUGUAAUUUCUUCAUCCAAAAAAAAUACGAUUAUAGAUCUAAAGACGUUAAUUGAAAUUGCGUCUCACAAUCGGUUGUCUUCCAUGCGGACUUUUCAUAGAAAUAUAUUAAUCCUCAAAUGGAGAAUUUGGCCCAUACAUAUUGGACAAAAAGUAAUGUCUUUUGAUAAUGCUUCACCGGCUCUCAAUGGUCCCCUAUUUUCGGCCCCCUUAGACCACAAAUUGCGGCUCGAGCCAUCCAUCGAAUUUCCAUUUACCAACAUUAAACAACACACUGAACCGCGAAGUUUUGAUGUUCUGAUUAUCAGCCCACCUUCUCCCCUUUUCUCUCUGGUCUAUCAAAUCUUUAUCUGGCCCGGACCAAUCUCGAGUCCCUCAAGUUCCCGACCCCUGUCUUUUCGGCAAAACCUUUCCUCGGGAAGAAAAAGACAUACAAAACGUUGCAAUCCCCUCAAUCUUUGUCUCUAAAUAUCGUUCUUUGUCUACGGCGGAAUAACCCAUACCUCAGGCCCCUUUAGCUUAAUCCUGGAGAAUCUUGAGAUUUCUCGCAUUUGAGACACAGCAGGGACACCCUUCUUCAAGCUGGAAAAUUGCACACCCCAUCCAAAGGGCGGAAAUUCAUAUUGAAAUAUCUCUUCAUCGGAAAGGGUUUACAUACAUAAUCUCGAAGAAGUAAUUUCGAACGGAAAUAGAUUUGGACGAAUAGUGCUAAAAGGGGUUGGCCUUAUGGUUUUCAAACCCAUCCUACCUAUCCCCCCAAAAAAAACCAAGAAAUCAACGACAAAAAUAAGUAGAUUACCGGCAAAAUCUCAUUUUCUCAUCAACUCUUGCAAAAUUUUGGUUUAUUUGGGGUUUUUUCAGCCAAAAGAAACAAAAAAAAAUAUUGGUACAUCUCGAAAGACCAAAAUGAUUUUUUCUUGUAAAUCAAAUUAUAGGAAAAUUCCUUGGAUGGGUGCAAGAAGGGUAAAAUUGCUGUAGGUCCCUUGCAAAAUUCUAAAUAUACCAUCAGACAUGCCAUUCGCCUCGACUCCCCAACAAAAGUCUUCCACCGAGGAAAAGUAGGGUGGACUUUGAUUAAUAUUUCACAAUGUAUUUAAUAAAUUGAAGGAUUUUCUUGGGGGUAUGAGAAAUGGAGAAUUAUGAAGACGCCACUUGAAAAUUACUUGAGAGAAACUUGAAAUACCAUCGAUAGUUUGACCAUUUUAGUAUUCACAACAUAAAUACAAUUAGGGUGUCUUGUAGACAUCAACCUUUACACCCCCUUUGACCAAUUUUCUCUUCUUCAUACAGAAGCACUUUCCCGGCCAUUCAAAUGUAAAAGCACCCAAGCCAAAAUCUCAAAAAGCCACAUCAAACACUAUUCCUGAUAAAUUUGUUCACCAAAAAAAAAAAAUCAAGAGGAGGAUGCAACAUUUCGAAGUAAUUUCGAAUAAAAAGAAAAAAAUAAGAAAAUUCACCCCCUAUUUGUCACCAUUCAUUUUGUCUGCAACAUUCAGAAGUCUCGACCAAAAAUGAAACGCGCAAAAAAAGUGAUAUACCCGAAUCAAAAUUCAAAAUGAAACCCAUUUCAGAAGCAAGUCAGAAACAUUUCCGAAAAUAGUCUACUGCUGAAACUACAUCACCAAAAAAAGCAAUUGCGAAAAGCCCCAAAAGGGCACCCUGAAACUUGAAAGAAAAAAUUAAACCAAAAAAUACCGCGGGACAACCCUUAAAUUCAAGCCCCACUUUGUCUUUCAUUCUGGAACCAGGAAGCAAAAAAAUCGCCCCCCAAAAAAUUCAUAAAGACAAAACCACCCCCUGAUGAACCCCCCAAAAAAAGACCCCCUUGAAAUGUGUUCUUGUUCGACCAGACAUCAUCUUUUCUCAAUCCACCAACCUUACACGUAAUCUCAAGGAGUUUAGAGACAAGUCCGUUAAUUGGACCCUCAAUCUCCCCUAUGCACAAAACUCGACAUAGAAAUUUAACAAGAAAUCCCCCCAAUUGUUUAAAGCACUUUUUGUCAAUAUUUUGCCUAGAUCAUUUACAAGUUUAGCAGAAAAAAAGUAAUAAAAAAAUUGUUUUGCAACUUUGACUCAAUUAACAGAUUUUGGGAUUUGGGGGUGGCAAACCUACUACUCAAAAAAGCGAUUUUAGAAAAAAAAGUCAAAAACUAUAGCAAAAAAAUUGUCUUGAAAACAAAAACCAAGCAAUAGCUCAAAAUUAUCCAAAAAAAAAUAAUAUUCAAAAACUAUAAAUAGCCAAAAAAGACGAAUUUAAAAAAUAGUCAAAAAAUAUCUUUUAGGGGAAUGUUCCGUUUGAGAAAUCUAAACACGAAAUCCGAAAAUUAAAAAACAAAAACAGCUUUUGACAUCGAAACAAAACUAGGCCCUGAAUGUCUUCAAACGGAAAUUUUCGUAGGUGCGUAUUUAAUGAAAAUUUGAAAUUUUCAUUUUUUUUAUAAAUUAUUUUUGUCUUAUAAUUAACGUGUUUUUUUUUUGUAUUUUGUCUUUUGUGUUUUGAAUUGUUUUCUUCCUCGGUUGAAAAGUUUCAUGUAUUUAACAAAUUGGCGCACAAUUGGCAACUUCUUUUGCUCUUUUCUAAAAUUUAUUUUAAAUCCAAAAUUCAUUAAAAAAAAAAAGAAAUAAAAAUCAAAAAGGAUUAAUUGGAGUGAAGAAAACAAUUCAAAAUCAUUGUGAAUGGUUUUUUGGUGGGAAUUUCUGGAUUCUGUGGAACAUUUAUCGUAGAGUCUGCAUUUAGGCCAACAAAGAAAUAGCUAAAAAGAAUGUGAUAAGCAGAAUAUAAAAAAAUAAUUCAAUAGUGCAAAAAUCAUUGAUGACCACCCUUCUGUAUCGUAGCCAUCAACAACCCUUUCGACCACAACAUUGAAUGUUCCACAGAAGCGACAAAUUUCCCCCAAAACUCCAUAUCUUAAGUGCUAUUUUUUUUUUAAAAAACGAAGAAAAUUAAAUUUUCUUCGACUUUUUUUUCUUAAACACUAUUCUUGUAUAUAUAAAAUGUCCUAAAGUGUGUUUAAAUUUGCCCAUUGCUAAAAUUCAAAUAAUUGGCCGUUUGAGGGAAAAUUAACACAAACUGUUGCAAGAAUACGAUGGCAAAAGAAUUAAGCACAUUAAGAAAAAUAUCGUAGAAUCAUAGAGGAAAUGUUAAGAAAGAAAAAAAUGGGAAAAAAUACAGCACAAAUAGCUAUAAAUUAUAGAGUAAGCAGUUGAUGCAAGAAUAAGCAAACAAAACGACCCUCUUCUUUACUGAAAUACAACAACAACAAAAAAAGACGCCAUCAGCCAUCUUCCUUCUGCAACCCCUCGAGUAUCUCAAAAUCACAUUAUUCUCCCUCAUCAAAUUUACUGCAAAAAUCCGUCCCCCUACCCCGCUUUUCAGGCAUUCUUCUCGGCAUAUCCCGAGGGAUGGCUGUUUGGCAAGAAGUUCAGCAUUCGAACGACAAAAGUUCAGCGAAAAAUCCCAAUUAAUUGCAAUAUAUUCUGCCAAGAACCCCAAAAUAAAAAGAAGAAACAAAUCCCAUAACAACUUUUUUUAAUAAAAAAAAAAGCGUCAGUCUCAUCAAUUUGCAAUAUCUACCAAAAGUUCCAAUAUUUUAAUUAUAAUUCUUAUAAAAUGUAAUAUUCUAGAUAUUCUUUUAGUCAUUAUAUUCGCUCUAAAUGCAAUUAACACGGCACGCUUAAAAUAAAAAAAAAGACACACCCGAAAGAAAAAUUAUAUUUAAAAAAAACCAAGAAUAUAGUCAAUUCUGAAAGAUGAAUGCGAGAGAAACAUAAGAAGUCCACUGCCAAAUUCAAUUUUAAAAAAGACAACCCCUGGCCCUCCAAAAAAAAAGAACAAUUCUGCAGAAAAUACAACAACAAAAAAGAGGAUAAAGAAACAAAUAUAAUAAAAUCAUUGGCCACAAUAAUUUAUAGUUAUGAUAAAACUUGCGACAUUAAUGUUUCCCGCAAAAUGCACAAGAUAUGGCAAUAGUUCUUCACUCUUGUGGCUUGCCCCAAAAUAUGAUGUAUCGUCUCUACAAACCCCUAAAGUCCCCAACUUUCUCCCGCCUCGUCUUUCACGACAAUUUCAGCCAAAUACAAUUUAUGAAUGAGAAACACUGCAUUAAAUAUUAACUAGCAAAUUACUUCCUGUUGGGAAACUGUAUUGAAUUUGCCAGCCAAGUAAAAAAAAAACAAUGUCAUACUAACUACUAAUGUAAUACCAAGGAAUGAGGGCGAGAAAACCCCCACAGAAUGUCAAUUUUGCAGAAGAAACUUUACAUAGCAUUUGAGACACUUUUAUACUGUAUAAUUGAGUUUUUAGCCAAGCAAAAAAACCAAACUUUUGUAUAGAAAAAAUCAAAUUUGUACCAUGAUCAAAAAUGUACCAAGUACGGAAUUUCGUUGAUUGUAAUAAAAAAAAAGAUUAAUUGUAAUGAAUUUGUAAUGAAUAAAAUUGAGAAGUAAUUGAAAGGAAAA